CUCACUGUCUUGCAAACUCAGCGCCCAUUCGGGCUGAGUGAUUUGGGUGAUGCCUUUCUCGUCCCCCAGGACAAGACAUGACAGAGAGGCCGAGAGGAGAGAACAGCAGACGUUAUAUUACUUUCCACUUGAGAGCUCUGAGCACAGCCAUGACAAGACAGCUAGCACCUCAGCCUGCCUCCUGCCUCCUGCCUCCCUCCCCACCACUACACCAGCAACUCAGCUGCCUGUAUCCCUGCCCCCCUCUCCCUCCCUAGCUCUGACUGGAGAGGACUAAAUGUGCUUCCCAAAUGGAACCCUAUUGCCUAUAUAGUGCACUACUUUUGGCCAGAGCCGUAGGGUCCUCAUUAAAAGUAGUUCACUAUAAAGGGAAUAGGAUGCCAUUUGGGACAUAACCAGAGACAGGAUAUCAUCAAGCUAAGCUAGAAUAUAUCACUAAUAUUCUUCAUGACACCCUUCCUUCUCCUUCUAAACAACUGGUUCAUAUUUUAAUUAUGUAACUUCCUGGGUCUGUAUUUGCAAAGUGUCUCAAGAGUAGGUGUGCUGAUCUAGGAUCAGUUUUAUUAAGACAGGGGGACCUGAUCCUGAUCCACUCCUACUAUGGCGCUUUGCGAACACAGGCAUAAAUAAAUAAGACAUGAAAAAUACGCAUCUGUUUCAGAUUCAGAUUGGUCUCCAUGGGAUUUUACGAUAUUAAAAGUUGAAAAGAAUAUUG